AUGUCUUCAGGAUUGGAAAUGUCACGAAGGCCCCCGUACAAUUAUAGAUCGGUAGCCUGUGGCAUCUAUUUUGUCCAAUCGUCCGCCACGAACAAAUUUCCUUUGUUGGGUGCUGGUGGUUCUACUUCCAAUGUUUUUGUAGGACAUUGCUCGGUUAGUAAUGACUUUGAAUGUAAAGCGUGCUAUGAAGUACAUGAUGCGCUGUGUAGUUCCCUCAAUUACGUGAAGAAGAAGAAUGGCAACAAAGACUUAUGGGAUAGAGAGAGAGAGGACAUGACGAACAUUAAGCGGUUUGUAGUUGGGGGAGGGGCGGAUCUGGAGCCAUGCUUAGGGCGUGUGCUAUUUGUUUUCCUGUUGCAACGCACGGAGUAUUCAACGCGCGGUCUGAGCAGAUUUGUAAAGAAAAAAAACACAACCACACACGCACGGGCUCACCUCCUCUCCCUCUCGCCCAUGAAGUCGCCACCGCCGCCGCCGCCCACGCCGGCCGCUUUCGGCGAGCUCCAGCGCCGCACAGCACGCCCCCGAGCCCCCCAAGCUCCGCGCCUCCCUCCCCUCCGUCCAGAUUCUCCGCUCCCGGCCUCUACUGCCCGCUCGCAACCACACCCCGUGGCUAGGGUUUCGGGCAGUGCUUCGCCGGCCCGUCUCCGGCGGCCCCAGAUGCAGAUGGAGCAUGCCAUGGGAUUUCCCCAUCCACCACGCUCGCUGCCGUCAAGGGCAGGAAGGAACCCUAGCCAGCAGCACCUCCUCACCUCGGAUGAUGCCUCUGCUGCACCAAGAUAG
rnacentral:rRNA from 1 species